CAAAGGCCUGGUCCUGACUUUACUAUCGGUUUUAACCCAAUUUAUACAUGCAAGUAUCCGCACCCCCGUGAGAAUGCCCUCAAUCCUCCUCCCGAGGACGAGGAGCCGGCAUCAGGCACGCCCCGCAGCCCAAGACGCCUUGCUUCGCCACACCCACAAGGGAAUUCAGCAGUAAUAAACAUUAAGCAAUAAGUGAAAACUUGACUUAGUUAGGGUUUAGAGGGUCGGUAAAACUCGUGCCAGCCACCGCGGUUAUACGAGAGACCCUAAUUGAUAGACACGGCGUAAAGAGUGGUUUGGGAAAGCCCAAAAAUAAAGCUAAAGACCUUCUAAGCCGUCACACGCACGCCGAAGGCACGAAGCCCUGACACGAAAGUAGCUUUACUAUUACCCCCGACGCCACGAAAGCUAAGAAACAAACUGGGAUUAGAUACCCCACUAUGCUUAGCCCUAAACUCAGAUAUUGAACCCACAAACAAUAUCCGCCAGGGUACUACGAGCGCUAGCUUAAAACCCAAAGGACUUGACGGUGUCUCAGACCCACCUAGAGGAGCCUGUUCUAGAACCGAUAAUCCCCGUUCAACCUCACCACCCCUUGCUUUUCCCGCCUAUAUACCGCCGUCGCAAGCUUACCCUGUGAAGGACCUACAGUAAGCAAAAUGAGUACAACCCAAAACGUCAGGUCGAGGUGUAGCUCACGAGGUGGAAAGAAAUGGGCUACAUUUUCUUCAACAGAAUACUACGGACAACACUAUGAAACUAGCGUUUAAAGGUGGAUUUAGUAGUAAAAAACAAAUAGAGUGUGUUUUUGAACCAGGCUCUGAGACGCGCACACACCGCCCGUCACUCUCCCCAUCACCUGCCUUACUAGGUAAAUAACCAAUCAUCCUUUAUAUUCGGGGAGGCAAGUCGUAACAUGGUAAGUGUACCGGAAGGUGCACUUGGAACAC
rnacentral:ncRNA from 1 species